ACCCGGUUGGACAUUUUUAUUGGUAAUAAAAGGAAAGUAGAGAAGUGCUUGACCCAUGAACGAGAUGGAUUUGGAAGAUGGAUUUGAAGCUAAGAAUGCCUGAUGUUCAGCACUGCUCUGUACAGAUUCUUUCCAAGGGCCUGAGAGGAACCCCACUUAUUCUGCUUUCAUUACCUUUUAACUUUUUAUUUAAAAUACUCCCCAAAACUACAUACUCACCAGGACCCACAAUACCUGAUUGUGAACCUAAAAAUGGAUUAUGGAUUCGUGAGGCUACAUGAUCUAUCAGCACACUUAUGUGGACCAAAGCUUUCUAGGGGAUUUAAGUAAGAUGUUAGAACUGUCUUCUACAUCACAAACACAGAAAGGUAUGAUAAAAUUAAAGCAUCACCAGCCUACCAGUCGGUCCACCACCACUGCCACAAGUGAGCACUUAAUGUUAGCUCACUGUCGUUCAUCACGUCAAAUCAGUAUUGUUCAUCUGAGUGCGGCAUUUGUCAUUUUGUUGGAAUUCAGUGUGCAAAUUUGUUUUGGAUUUUCAGUUGUAGAUGCACUAUAAGCUGAAGGGAUGUACGUCUACUUUUGAAUUUGUAUAUACUGACGGAACAUUACAAUAUGAAAUAAUUUCAAUAUGGUACAAGGCAAAUAUAAAAAAUGGGGCAGGGAGGGAGAAAGGAAAGAAUUAAGGAAGUUGGGAAGGAAGCAAAGGGAACUUAGUCUGGAACCCCAAAGAAAACAACUCUAUAGCCUAAGGGUUCGGAUUCCUAAAUCACAAACAUCACCUCAUGGAUUGCUUGGGUGUCACACAAUGAGACCCAGACCUGCCUUAAGUAAUGUUCUCAUUUAUUCAACAAAAUUUCUGGCCCCAUUAAGGCCCUAUGCUUAAGUCUGAUAGAUGGUUUAUUAUUUACUACAGCUACCAAGGAGGGGAGAGACGAGAAUGGAACAUUCUCCAGGUAAAAAUGCACAAAUCUAGGUAGAAAUAAUCUCACCUACAUAACGAUCACAAAUACUUGUUUACAGCCUUUUAGGCAACAUGAGAAGACUAGUAAGGUGCUCAAGAUGACACUUUCCUUUAAGAUUAAAAUAUCUGUGGGAGCUUUUGGUCCAUUAAGGCCCGAAUACGUUUCAUCCACCACGUUCCAAGUGGCAUGCUCCUGAAACUAAUUCCCUCUGCAGUUUAACUCCAGAGCUUCUCAGGGGAAACCAACUAAUUUUUAAUAUUGGAUUAAGCAAAAUACAAUUAGGAAGGCAAAUUUCUAAGAGGGAGAAAUCAUGCAGAAUAUUCCCAAGCCAAUUUGUAUGAUUUUGCAACAUUCAUUGUUUGAGUUCUCCUCUCCAUCCCUCCUUUCACAGGUAAUCAUGAAUUGCCUGUAAUUAAAAAAUCUCAGGUAACUGGCAGCAGGAACAUUCCUUGAGAAUUGUUUCCUAGGUCUCAGUAAUAAGCCUAGAUUUUUAUAUUUGCCACUAUUUUGAUGCUAGAUAUUCCUUCUCCUCUUUGUCUACUUCGAACUUGAGCAUUCUAAGGACUCUCUCCCUUUGAUCUGGAAAGGAAGAGAUACUCUGUUUUAUAUCUACAGCCACAUCUGAGUCCAACAGCUGAUUGUUGCAUCCUUGACCACAUUAUCUUUAUCCCUCCAGGAAUGGGCCUCAAAAUGAAAGAAGUUUGACUGUUAGUGAUUCGUAAGAUAUUAGAGCUCAGCAGGCCCUGAGAGCUGAGCUUGUCCAAAGACAUAUAAUAAGACUGAAAGUAUUCCUUUGUCUGCUUGGAGGGAAACCCCGAUAGGCCCUCUAGAUAUGAAUGUUUAUUUCUAAAUUUGAUUUUUUCCAAACACUUGUUGAAAGAGAUUCAACAAGACCUUACACUAACGGCUACAUUGUCCAAGGAAAUAUCCUUCCAUCUAUAGAUUGGUAGUUGGUUUUUCAUUAGGACGAAGGUUAAUUAAAAUCUUAAAAGAUUUCCACCUAUCUCAAUAUGAGGAAAGGCACAUGAAAAGGGAAAAUUAUCUUGCACUAAAAUCUCGGGGAAUUUUACACACCACUCUUAGAAUAUGAAUUUUAUGUUUGGAUGAGAUCAUAUAAUAUACCUUCGGAUAAAUCCACAGUUUCUAUUUGGAAUCAUAGUUUGUGAUCUAUUUGGUUUAUCCAUGGUUUAAAUUCAAAGAUGCCAAAUUGAGCAUGCCUCAGGUUUGCUACACAGCAUGAGGGGAAAAAAUGACCACUAAGAGCCAUGUGGUUCCACCCUGCUAUUUUCUUUUUUUUUUCUAACAUACGUCUAUCUUGCUGACCUCUGCUCCAUACCCAUGAUCUCUUAUCUAGGCCAUGAGCAGAGGACACAUUCUCCAGGGAUCAUAAUAAAUAAAAGAAGGUAAAGGGGAUUUUUUUUAAAAAAGAGGAGUACAAAUUACAGUUCCAGGAAAACUGGAAAGCAAAAUGUAAAUGAGAGUCCCUCAUUAUUUCUUUUUAAGGAUACUGGCACACUUAAAAUGUGGAUUUAAAUGUAGGUUCAGUAUAUACACAUUUCUGUGUGUGCAUAUCGGGCCUGUGUGUGCUCCAUGCCUUUCUCCAGGAAGGCCAAAGUGCCCUCACACACCGAUUUCAGAUCACAUAGUGUCAGUGCAGCUGGGACCAGUGUGGGAGGCAGGCUACAGAAGUGACUAGAGCAGAGUUGGAAAGAAAACUAGAUUCUAAUCCAGUUCAGGCACCUAUCAGGUAGGUAAUCUUGGGCAAAAAUGUCUCUGUAUCGGCUUCUCAGGCUGCAGCUGUCAACAUCCAAUGGCACACCGGAAGUAAAGCGCCAUGCUAGGUGUAUAGCAGAUAGUCAGUAAAUGGCAGAGAGUUUGUGACCAUCACUCAAUGGAUGCCUGAGCAUGAGUGAUCAGCUGGCUUAGUGUCAUUCCAUUCCAUCUGCUGCGCAACAUCAAAUAAACGUGUGCACUGUGUAACAGGUGGCCACCAGUGGAUGCUUUAUCUGCAUGACACUGUGCAACUCUUUGCAAAGUUCUUGCCCUGGGUAGACUCUUUUCUGAGGCCUAUUUUAUCUCCCCAGCUCCCUGCCCUACUCCUACACAACACCUUGCACACACACACACACACACACACACACACACUGUUUACCAUUUAAUUGACUAGCUGUUUUAGCUUCCUGGACAGACAGCAACAGAGCUAAAAAUAGCUGGGUCCUCCCAAACCAGCAACCCUUUAAAGGAGCUAAAUUGCCCUGCUUUUAAUUCUCCACCAAAAUCUGAUCUCAGGCUUUAUAAAAGAGAAGCGCUAAGGGCCCUUCUACGAUAGAGUGUUCCGCAAUUGACAUGCUGUCCAUUGCUUGAAAGGUUUUGUACACUGGUACUUAAUCCUUGUUUCAGUUACAACCCCUGUAGGGAAAUCUGACUCCUGUACAUGAGUUCUUCAUUUAUUUCUGAGCCAAGAUAAUUCUAGGAUUACCACUUAGAAAAUUGGGAGAACAGACUUGGGCACAGUUUCCACCCAGACAGCAUUGAAAAGAGGGGCAUGUAGACUACCUUUUCGGUGACAAGGUUAGAGACAGGUAUUGUGGUUAAAUCCCAUUAGCAAGAACAUUACACUCAUUAAGUAAAUGCUAGAGUGGGAACUGAGAAGUCUUCUUCCCCCAUCCCACCCCCAGUGUCCUCUCCUUCUCCUGAUGGCAUGUCCCUUCCAUGCAGGGGACUCCUUGCCCAGGAAUGCCUGUCUGCAGUAAAUCACAGUGUACUCCCAUGCCAAGUGGCUCCAAAGCCAGAAACACACUGUAAAGAACACAUGCCAUUCUGCAAAACUCUACCAGCAUGCACCAUUCCUAAAUUGUCUCUCUCUUAUUUCUUGGGUGACCUUUAGGUUUCAGAAAGUAUUCCUUUGUGUUAAAGCAAACACAAACUGUUCUGCAAGCAUCAUUCAAGAAUUUAAAGAUUCUAUUAAUCUGAUGUCUUAAUUGUUAUUGAGAAGAGGAAACAGGAGUGUCUUUGUUUCCCGAAUGACCACAUGCUUCUCAAAAGUGGCCCACAGUGUUGGAGUUUGCAUCUCAAGUUGCAGGCAGCUCUGAGUUCAGUGGCACUUCGGUGGAACUAAUUUCCACACAGAAUGAGGGGCAGCACAAACUAAAGCUGAGCAAAUUCAAAGUGCAUCACAUGGAUCCAAAAUGAAGGCGUUGUUCUCCCAUUCUGAAAAGUAGUUUAAAAUAAGGACUAAACAACGUAUGUCUCCUCACUGAAGGAGCUAAGCGGGCUACUCACACAGACACACGCCCCACAGUGAGGAGCAUCAACCUGGACUCAAAAGAGAAAGAAACAUCCCGGCAGCCCUGAGGAAAAAACAAACAUGAAUGUAAUUUAAUGAAAGUACUCUAUGUGCCUACUAUGUGUAAGACAUUGAGGGUCCAGGCACAAAAAAAGGAAGUUUAGCUCCCAUCUCCCGACCAGGUACCUGCUGGUAGGAAUCCCAUAAAUUCCCUGAAAAGGGAAGAACAUCCAGCUUAGCUGAAAAAGACAUACAGAACCCAAAUACUGUAGCUCCAUGGGCGGGGCAGCAUUUGAAAUGUGCCUUAAAAGCCCAGUAAAAAUUCACUUUUAAAAGAUGAGUGAAGCCGGAUACACUCUAGGAGGCUGAGGCAGGACAAUCACAAUCAGGAGAUCAACCCAGGAAAAUCUGCAGUUUAGCGACACCUUGACUCAGGAAAGAAGGGAAAAGACGGGGUGUGUAGCUCAGUGCAAAGACCCCAAGUGCAAUCCCCAAUACUGCUGAAUAAACAAGAGUAAGCAUUACGGUUGAAGAAAUGAAGAUAAACUAAGCUAUGAGGCAGAGACCAAAAUGAAUAAAUAAUACAGGUGCUGCUGCAUUUCUACUGAGGCUAAAACCCAUCAUAAAUAGAAAAAAUCAAAAAUGUAUUUACUAUUCUUCACCUACUGGACAUCACAGCUGUGCCUGGCCUGCCUUCCUUACAUACAGUUAAGCAGCACCACCCAACUCAAAGCCCAUUUUAUAAUUAAGCAUUGACUAUCUCAGUUAACUUUCUGAAUGACAAUAUCCAAAACACACUGCCCGCACGGUGCCACCUACAGUUUCUGCGUUUCUCCUGCUGAAAUGACUCACUGCUGCUGUCCAGACUGGGAAGAAGCAUCACCACCUAUCACCAGCCCAGAACAGACUGAAUUCAAACUUCAGAGCCUGCUUCCCAGCCUACCCUGUGGCUUUCUUCCCAUCACAAAGUUGGAUUUCAACAACUGUGAAUCUCAGGAUUGAAACUCUGGGAACUCAAUGGAAGAGAAUGCUGAUGGUUAAAAUAAGAAGUCUAUUUGUUAGGUUGGCCCAUGAAACACAGGAAUUCCUUCAACAAAAUUCUCACACAUGCUGCUAUAGUUUGGAAGCUGAAGUGUCCCUGGAGGUCCACAUGUGGAAGGCUGGGCCACCAACUUGGGGUACUACUGUGGAAUGGUGGAGCCUUUGAGGUGUGGAGCUUCACGGAAGGAAGUUAGGCCAUUGGGGGUGUGGCCUUGAAGGAGAUAUUGGAUCCUAGCCCCUUCCUCUUUCUCUCUUUUCUUCUAGGUCCCCAUGAAGCCAUCCUCCACAGUGUCCUCCCACCAUUACAUUGGGCCUUAUCACAGGUCCAAAGCAAUAGAACCUCUUGACCAUGCACAGAAACUUAUGAAGCCCCAAGGAAUGACAGAAAUCUCUCCUCCUUACAAGAUGAUUUUCUAGAAAGCUAACACCUAUGCUUAUCUAGCUUCCCAGUGAUAACAAUAAUGAUAUUGAUGCAGUACUUCUUUCAUACCUACCAUGUGCUGGACACUGUAUGAAGUACACUGAGCACUGAUGGUGAAUCCAUUGUGUUCUUAGAAGUUUAUGUAUACUAGCUUAUGGAGUGCCCGAGGAGCUACCCUAGGAAGUAGGUCCUAUUGCUACUGUUAUUCCAUGGAUGAAUCAGUGGAAACAGAAAGGAGUUGAAUAACUUGCUCUGGGUCAAAGAGUUAGAAAAAGAGGACCUGAAAAACUGAGUUACACAGACCUGCCCCAGAGCCUGCCCUUUAAUCUUGUGCCACCACUAGGGGUAAGAGAAACAGAGAGAGUGAGGAGCUAAAAUCCACUUGAACACAGCUCCAAUUAAUAGAUAAAUCUUCAGUUUUCUGAGCAAAAGCUGCCUCCCUGAGUCUUCAUGUUGCCUUCAAGAGAACAAUAAUAAUUUCUUCUUUAGUUUGAUAGUCCUUAUAUCAGAAACUGGCAAACUAUGGUUUUGGGGCCAAAUCUGGCCCACCAUCUGUUUCUGGGUAAGCAGUGAGCUAAGAAUGGAUAUCACACUUUCAAAUGGUUACAAAAAAAAAAUCCAAAAGCAGAGACUAUUUUGUGACACACAAAAAUCACAUGAAAUUCAAAUCCCAGUGUUCAUAAAUGAAGUUUUAUUGGAACACAGUGAUACUUCCUUUACAUAUAUUCCGUGGCCUCUUUCACUCCACUUCAAGGUCAGAAUUAGGUAGUUGCAACAAAGACCAUACGGCCCAGGAAGGGCUAACGUAUCUCUUGCCCACUCCAGAAAAUAUUUGCUGACCUCUGCUUUAAAUAGCUGGGGUGGGUUCCCUUGUCCUUUCUUAGAUUUGCUUUUUUAUGGUAAAAAUAUCUCAAGUCCUCCCUUAUGUUAUCAGCUCAUCACAUAUUCUAUCCCUCAUAACAGUAGUAUUCAGCGGUAAAUUCAUACCGUGAAAUAUUGCUCACCAAUGAAAAGGAACAAACUAUGACAGAGACGUAAAAACCAGAAUGAAUCUCCAAACCAUUAUGCUGAGAGAAAAAGCCUUACACAAAUUGUUCUUACUGGCUGCUUAUAUGAAUAUGAAAUUCUAAAACAGAUGAGUCUAUGGUGAAAAGUAUUAGAACAAUGCUUUUCUUUGGGAAAAAGGAACAGGAAUUGGCUGGGAUAAGCACAAAGGAAUCCACUUGAUAAUACAAACAUUCCAGAUCUUAAUGGCUGUUUGAGUUAUAGAGUUGUAUAUAUUUGCCAAAAUUUACACAUAUAGUUUGUAUGUUAUACUAUAUCUGCCUCAAAAGACUGUAAAUAAAUAUUGUACUAUAGUUAAUGAUCUGCAGACUGAAAUGUUUAAGUAUAUCAACACCUAAAACUUGAAGUGCAGCAGAAAAUGAAGAUUCUUGGAUGAUUGGAUAGAGAAAUGGACAGAUGGCAAGGCAUGUGAUACAGGAAGCAGAGAAAAUGUUCACUGUGAAAAGUAGGCAGUGGGUAUGUGAAUGUCCACUGACUAAUUCUUACAAGUCCUGUGCUUCAAACUGGUCAUAAUAAAAUACAUUUCUCACAAUACAUCCUCUAUGUUCACUAUCUUGAAGACAGAUGGUAAUGUGUUCACAGAUAUAUCCCAUCUCAAAACUUAUCCGAUUGUAUACUGUAAAUAUGUGCAGUUUAUGUCAAUGAUGGCUCAGUGAAAUUCUUUUUAAAAAGUGGACUCAUAAUGUAUUGUACUAUUAUUUAAAAAAUUUUAAAAAGUCUUCAGAGUAAAGUAGGGAAGAACAAUGUGAAAUGAACUACUCUAAAUACUACACACAGUGACAUCACUCUUUCCUUUACCUUGGCCAUUUUCAUGUUAGCUUUUAUUUUCCUGUAAUGUAACUGAGUAAAUUCUGAAGUGUCCUACCUUGCACUCACCAAAGGACACAUCUUGGGUACAACCUUGAGGACUAGUAAUAGGAGUACAUUCUAUGAUGGAAUCUGACUCCAUGGCAAGAGACCCACUUUUUCUUCUCUGUUUCAGUUUUAUUACAGAAAGAUACAUAAAAGAAAAGGCAUGGAGACAUCCCCAGUGAAAUGCUCCCACUAAAUUCCCUGUGGAAAACAGUAUAAGUUCCACAAGUGAGCUUACACUUUUGUCUCAUGACUGUGUAGAAAGAAGAGGAAUCUUUUGAUCACAGAUGAAUUCCUGGCCUUCUUAACCUCAGCAGUGGUUGUCACGUAUGUCUCAUACUAAGGUUCACUAUCAUUUGACACACACCAUGCGCACCACUGUUACAAAUGUGAUUAAGCGUUUCUUUAAGGGGCC
ensembl:lncRNA